AAUCGUUGUCGUCUGUAUAUACUUCACGCCUCCCUCUGUGCACGCUCUUUGGCCUCUCAUGUCCUCCACCAAGGUGUGCGACCCCGAGGCGUUCCUCUUCGGUAUGAUGGGGGCUGCCUUAUCCCUUGCUUUGGCGAACGUUGGUGCCGCCUUCGGCACGGCCAAGGCCGGUGUUGCGGUGGCACAGCUAGGAAUUGUGCAGCCCUCACGCGUGAUGCGUGGUAUCGUGCCGGUCGUGAUGGCCGGUAUUCUUGGUAUCUACGGUCUCAUCGUCUCCGUGAUUAUCUGCAACAACAUGAAGCUGAGCGGAUACCCGCUCUUCUCCGGGUACAUGCACCUUGGGGCUGGGCUGGCGGCCGGAUUUGCCUCCCUCGCGGCCGGAUACGCGAUUGGCAUUGUAGGCGACAUUUGCUGCUACGCGUAUGCCAAGACGGAGAAGAUCUUUGUCCCAAUGAUUCUGAUGCUCAUUUUUGCAGAGGCGCUGGGCCUGUUCGGUCUCAUCACUGCACUGCUCAUGAGCAACAAGGCAACCUCUGCCAUGGGUUCGUGCACCAUUAGCUAAGAUCGUGGAAUUCUUUAGUCGUUUGCUUUUCUUUUGUGGCGCCCCUCUUCUCCGUAAGGCCCCUUACCCCGUGCGUAUCCCUUUCAUUUUCUCGAGGUUUUUCUCCCUUUGUCUGUCCGUCUCCGAUUCUUGCCGGUGUGUGUGUGUGUGUGCUGAUGGAUGGACAGGGGGCGUGUGUGUGUGUGUGUGUGAGGCGAUGGCAGCGAGGGAGCGAACUGGGGAAGACAUCGUCUUUCUGCGUGUUGAUGUGUUUCUCGUAUUUUGUUGUUGUUCUGUGGUCUGCGCGGCGUUUCAGUGUCUCUCCGUGCGGCGCGCGUGGUCGGCUGCUUAUCCGUCUUGAUGGGGCGUGCUUGCAGUCGUGCCCGAAAGGAGGGACGUAUGCGCCUGGUGUUUGGCGUGCGUGUUCCGUUUGCCACCGAAAUGUUGAGCGGAGCUACCCCCCUCCUCCUUUCCGAACGGAAAAAGGGAAGGAAUCAUGAGAGGAGGAGACAUAUCCUCCCUUUCCAGCACGCGCAAACACACGCACCCGCACUCAGACACACACACACACACACACACACGCGCACGCACACUGAUGCAGGAGAUGCGGAUGCCAUGAAACAAGGCACGUGUACCUUCUUGGGAUGGUGCAUGGAUCGCUCUAUUCCUCUCAUCCUGUCUCUCUCGUGAGGCGUUCCCCGCUAUCAUCACGCGCGGCUCCGUUUCUCUCUCUCCCAGCUCUUUCCCAGUCUGCCAUGAGGCCAUGAGCCGCGUUUCACACUUGACGGACCGAUUCGAGCGCAGGAGGUGCCGCUCGCUGCGCGCUACAGAUGCGCCUUUCAUAGCCACACGUGACGCGCGUGUUGUUUGUGCAUCCGGCGCAGAAGAAAUGGCGGAAGAGAGCGAGGUGGUAGAGCGAUGACACCGCUGCUGGAAUAGCGAAUGUUGGCAUGCUUGUGUGCGUGUGUGUCGGGGGGACCCUGCGGUCUUGUAUGCUGGUGUGCAGCCGUGGCGCGGUGAGGAGCGUGCGUAGUGCAAGUGACAUUGGUGGCCUCCUUUCUUGGCUGUUCUGUUCCUCUCUAUUCUCUCGCUGGUGUGGAAAAGACAGCGUGAUGGUCGAGGCCACACGCGAGCACACACGAAACG
rnacentral:misc_RNA from 1 species